rnacentral:ncRNA from 1 species
AGGGUAGGAACCAUAACGUUAAGGGUCAGCGGAACGGAAUGUGAACGCUGAUUGAAGGGCCACCGUCAUUGGUCCGCGCUAUGAUUUCCGCAUUCAC